AUUGAACGCUGGCGGCAGGCCUAACACAUGCAAGUCGAACGGUAGCACAGAGCGCUUGCUCUCGGGUGACGAGUGGCGGACGGGUGGGGAAUGUCUGGGAAACUGCCCGGUGGAGGGGGAUAACUACUGGAAACAGUAGCUAAUAACGCAUAACGUCGCAAGACCAAAGUGCGCGACCUUCGGGGCUCACACCAUCGGAUGUGCCCAGAGGGGAUUAGCUAGUAGGUGGGGUAAUGGUUGACCUAGGCGACGAUCCCUAGCUGGUCUGCUAGGAGGACCAGCCAGACUGGAAGGGAGACACGGUCCAGCAUCCUACGGGAGGCAGCAGCGGGGAAUAUUGCACAAUGGUGGGCGGCCGGAUGCAGCCGUGCCGCGUGGAGGGAGAAGGCGGUCGGGUUGUAAAGUACUUUCAGCGGGGAGGAAGGCGGUGGAGUGAAUAACUUCACCGAAUGACGUUACCCGCAGAAGAAGCACCGGCUAACUCCGUGCCAGCCGCCGCGGUAA
rnacentral:rRNA from 1 species